UACGGAGGGUGCGAGCGUUGUCCGGAAUCACCGGGCGUAAAGGGCGCGUAGGCGGCGCGGGGGGUCAACGGUGAAAGUUCGGGGCUCAACCCUGAAUCGGCCGUCGAUACUCCUGGGCUCGAGCACUGUAGAGGCAGAUGGAAUUCCGGGUGUAGCGGUGGAAUGCGUAGAGAUCCGGAAGAACACCGGUGGCGAAGGCGGUCUGCUGGGCAGUUGCUGACACUGAGGCGCGACAGCGUGGGGAGCAAACAGG
rnacentral:rRNA from 1 species